rnacentral:misc_RNA from 2 species
AACGCACCUUGCGCUCCUUGGUAUUCCGAGGAGCAUGCCUGUUUGAGUGUCAUUUAAUUCUCAACCACAAAGGCUUUUGCGAGCUUUUGUGGAUUGGACGUGGGGGUAACUGCAGGCCUUCCCAGGUCAGCUCCCCUAAAAUGCAUUAGCGGAACCGUUUGCGGUAACCAGUCGCCAGGUGUGAUAAUUAUCUACGCCAAUAGACAUGAACUGCUCUCUGUUGUUCUGCUUCAAAUUGUCUUGCUAGACAACUUUUGAAUGUUUGACCUCAAAUCAGGUAGGACUACCCGCUGAACUUAA